rnacentral:rRNA from 1 species
AACGAACGCUGGCGGCGCGCCUAACACAUGCAAGUCGAACGAGAAUCCGGGGCAACCCGGUAGUAAAGUGGCAAACGGGUGAGGAAUACAUGGGUAACCUACCCUUGAGAAGGGAAUAACCCGCCGAAAGGUGAGCUAAUACCCUAUACGCUAUCUUUUUUUCGAAAGGAAUAGGAAAGACCGGGUCGGAGGACCUGGUACUCAAGGAGGGGCGUCAUGUCCUAUCAGCUUGUUGGUGGGGUAACGGGCCUACCAAGGCUACGACGGGUAGCUGGUCUGAGAGGAUGAUCAGCCACACUGGCACUGAGAUACGGGCCAGACUCCUACGGGAGGCAGCAGUGAGGAAUAUUGCGCAAUGGGCGAAAGCCUGACGCAGCGACGCCGCGUGGGGGAUGAA